UGCGCGGCUUAGCCGUGUCUGGGGAAAGGGGAUCCCGGUGGUUGAGCCGAUGCCGGGUGUUCGGACCUUGACGACCCCUCGGCGGAGGCAACACACCUCCUUGGCCUCUGCUUCACAUAGACGGCACCUCCAGACUGACCGACCUGGAGGAAAUUGGCAGCCGCCUUUUCCUGUCCUCUCCAAUCUUCGUCUUUGACUCUCACCUUUUCAUCUUUCCUGUCCUCUUUUCACUUCUUCUUACUUCCGAAUUUCGAGGCGGUAAGGGUUAACCAUGUGGGCGUGGCCUUUCU
rnacentral:lncRNA from 1 species